rnacentral:tRNA from 1 species
UCUAAUAUGGCAGAUUAGUGCGGUGGAUUUAAGCUCCACAUAUAAAGAACCAAUUACUUUUUUUAGAA